UACGGGGGGGGCAAGCGUUGUUCGGAAUUACUGGGCGUAAAGGGUUCGUAGGUGGCCAACUAAGUCAGACGUGAAAUCCCUCAGCUUAACUGGGGAACUGCGUCUGAUACUGAUUGGCUUGAGUGCAGGAGAGGAACGCGGAAUUCCUGGUGUAGCGGUGAAAUGCGCAGAUAUCAGGAGGAACACCGGUGGCGAAGGCGGUUCUCUGGGCCUGUACUGACGCUGAGGAACGAAAGCGUGGGGAGCGAACAGG
rnacentral:rRNA from 1 species